rnacentral:piRNA from 1 species
UGACACCUGUGAGUCUCUUGAAGAAAUGC